CAGCAGCCACGGUAAUACAGAGGGUGCGAGCGUUAAUCGGAUUUACUGGGCGUAAAGCGUGCGUAGGCGGCUUUUUAAGUCGGAUGUGAAAUCCCUGAGCUUAACUUAGGAAUUGCAUUCGAUACUGGGAAGCUAGAGUAUGGGAGAGGAUGGUAGAAUUCCAGGUGUAGCGGUGAAAUGCGUAGAGAUCUGGAGGAAUACCGAUGGCGAAGGCAGCCAUCUGGCCUAAUACUGACGCUGAGGUACGAAAGCAUGGGGAGCAAACAGGAUUAGAGACCCCAGUAGUCCCUGUCUCUUAUAU
rnacentral:rRNA from 1 species